rnacentral:rRNA from 1 species
UACGAAGGGGGCAAGCGUUGUUCGGAAUUACUGGGCGUAAAGGGCGCGCAGGCGGCCGAUCAAGUCAGAUGUGAAAGCCCCGGGCUCAACCUGGGAAUAGCAUUUGGGACUGGUUGGCUAGAGAUCGGGAGAGGAGAGUGGAAUUCCCAGUGUAGAGGUGAAAUUCGUAGAUAUUGGGAAGAACACCGGUGGCGAAGGCGGCUCUCUGGACCGAUACUGACGCUGAGGCGCGAAAGCGUGGGGAGCAAACAGG